rnacentral:rRNA from 1 species
CUACGGGGGGCAGCAGUGGGGAAUAUUGGGCAAUGGGCGCAAGCCUGACCCAGCAACGCCGCGUGAGGGAAGAAGGUUUUCGGAUUGUAAACCUCUGUCCUUGGGGACGAAGAAGUGACGGUACCCAAGGAGAAAGCUCCGGCUAACUACGUGCCAGCAGCCGCGGUAAUACGUAGGGAGCAAGCGUUGUCCGGAAUUACUGGGCGUAAAGGGUGCGUAGGCGGCAUAUUAAGUCAGGUGUGAAAUACUCGGGCUCAACCCGAGGGGUGCAUUUGAAACUGAUAAGCUUGAGUGUGAGAGAGGAAAGUGGAAUUCCUAGUGUAGCGGUGGAAUGCGUAGAUAUUAGGAGGAACACCAGUGGCGAAGGCGACUUUCUGGCUCAUAACUGACGCUGAGGCACGAAAGCGUGGGGAGCAAACAGGAUUAGAUACCCCCGUAGUC